rnacentral:tRNA from 1 species
GCCUGGGUAGCUCAGUGGUAGAGCUUGAACCUGACGAGUUAAUUGCACUGGGUCCUGGAUUCGAUUCCUGAUCCAGCCA